rnacentral:rRNA from 1 species
GACGAACGCUGGCGGCGUGCCUAAUACAUGCAAGUUGAGCGCUGAAGGUUGGUACUUGUACCAACUGGAUGAGCAGCGAACGGGUGAGUAACGCGUGGGGAAUCUGCCUUUGAGCGGGGGACAACAUUUGGAAACGAAUGCUAAUACCGCAUAAAAACUUUAAACACAAGUUUUAAGUUUGAAAGAUGCAAUUGCAUCACUCAAAGAUGAUCCCGCGUUGUAUUAGCUAGUUGGUGAGGUAAAGGCUCACCAAGGCGAUGAUACAUAGCCGACCUGAGAGGGUGAUCGGCCACAUUGGGACUGAGACACGGCCCAAACUCCUACGGGAGGCAGCAGUAGGGAAUCUUCGGCAAUGGACGAAAGUCUGACCGAGCAACGCCGCGUGAGGGAAGAAGGUUUUCGGAUCGUAAAACUCUGUUGGUAGGGAAGAACGUUGGUGAGAGUGGAAAGCUCAUCAAGUGACGGUAACUACCCAGAAAGGGACGGCUAACUACGUG